CUUUGCAUCGGAGCCCAGCCCAGUCGCCAGUCUACCUAUUCUGUGCACUGUGAACAGUGGAGCUUCAAAAAAACCAGCACAAAAGAGAAAGCUACGCGCGUCCAUGACCAUGAGAAAAACCUGCACUGCCACUCCACUAGGACUAGGAGCAAAAAGCACAGGUUGCGUUAUAUCCAUCUUCCAUCCACGCCUAGGGCUCUACUAGUCUAGGCCAAACAAGAGGGGAGCAGUACUAUUGUAGCAUACCAUAGCAUAGCUGCUGCUGACAAGCGACCGGCGGUGUGCCACACGCUCACACAGACAGACACAGCGCGCAUCAGCGAUGCGGGCGGGGGCGUACACGGUGCACCAGUCGCUCACCGCGGAGGCGGCCGCGGCGCUGCAGCUCUCGCUGGGCCUGGCGCGCCGCCGCGGCCACGCGCAGGUCACGCCGCUGCACGUCGCCUACACGCUGCUCGGCGGCUCCGAGCCGCCCCCGUCGUCGUCGUCGCCUCGGCUCUUCACCACCAUCGCCGCGUCCGCGCCGGCGUACGGUCUCCUCGUGCGCGCCUGCGCCAGGUCCCGCCGCCAGACGCACCCGGCGCAGCAGUGCCGGGCGCUGGAGCUCUGCUUCAACGUCGCCCUCAACCGCCUGCCCACGGGCACGGCCAACGCGGGGGGCUUGGGCUCCUCGCCCUCGCCCGCCACCUCCUUCGCGGCGUCGCUCCUCCAGCAGCAGCCCGCCAGCCCGACGCUGUCCAACGCGCUCGUGGCCGCGCUCAAGCGCGCGCAGGCCAAUCAGCGCCGCGGCUGCGUCGAGCUCCAGAGCCAGCCGUCGCCGCCGCCGCCACCGCCAGGCCAGCAGCCGCACUCCACCACCUCCCCGAGCCACCAGCAGCAGCAGCCUGUGCUCACGAUCAAGGUCGAGCUGGACCAGCUCAUCGUCUCCAUCCUCGACGACCCCAGCGUGAGCCGGGUCAUGCGGGAGGCCGGCUUCUCCAGCGCCGCCGUCAAGGCCAGCCUCGAGGAGGAGAGCGCCGCCAUGCUGGCUGCCCUCGGCAACCACCAGGUCCACCACCACGGCGCCUCCUCGACGCCGCCGCCGCCGCCGCCGUCCUCCCAUCAUCCUCCCACCGCGGCCGGAUUAGUACUACCGCCUCGUCACUUCUUCCUGCUGGACCCUUACGGAGGAGGAGGCUUCCCUGCGCACGCCGGUGCCUGCAGCGGCGCGCCGUGGGCAGCGCCCUUCCCGAGCGUCCACAGCCGCCACCCGCCCGAGCCCGACGACGUGAACUCCGAGCCCCCAUGCGAGGCGGAGGCGGAAGACGUGAGAGCGAUCGUGGAGGUGAUGACGCGGCGCCGGGGGAGACUCCGACGAGCCAACCCCGUCGUGGUCGCCGACUCCGCGCCCGCCGCCGAGGCGUGCGUCGCCGAGCUCGUGCGGCGGGUGGAGCGAGGAGGAGACGUCCCCGACGAGCUGCGCGGCGCGCGCGUCCUCCGCCUCCACCUCUCCCGCGCCCGCGUCCGCCUCAUGACCCGCGCCGACGCGGACGCGUGGGCGGCCGGCCUGCGCCGAAGCGUCGCCGGCAGUAACAGCACCGGCGCAGGCGGCGGCCUCGUCAUCUACGUCGGCGACAUGCGCUGGGCCGUCGACGACGGCACCGACGACGACGACCACGCCCGCGGCCUGCAGGGGCCGUCGUCGUCCGGCUCCUACAGCCCCGCUGCGCACCUGGCCGCGGAGCUCGCCCGCCUCCUCGCCGACCUCCGCCUCCGCGCCGCGUCGCGCGCCUGGCUGCUGGCGGCCGCCAGCUAUGCCACCUUCAUGCGCUGCCAGCGGUCGUCCCUGGACGUGACGUGGGGCCUGCAACCCGUGUCCGUCCCCGCUGGCGCUGGCGGCGGCGGCGGCCUCGGCCUGGAGCUCGGCCCUCGCGCUGCCACUGCAAGGUGACA